rnacentral:lncRNA from 1 species
GAAAAGGUCAACGGCAUUUGGGGAUGCCUGGAACUUAGUGACCCGAGCUAUAAGGUCACCUACGCAACCCUCUGGCUGUCCAGUCCCACCUCCAGAGGUGAGUCACAUCUGGGGGUAGGGGCAGUAAUGAGCAGCUGCUUCUCCCCCUCUCUGUGUGCAGCGCUGCCUCCAGGAUGGGCACAGGCAAUUUGAGGAAAUAUUCUGAGGAUUUAAGGUGAGGCCUGAAUGUGGUGAAGCUGCUCACACCACAUGAAGGGAAACAGAGGAACCGCUGGCUUGUGAGUGGUUAAAGCCACACCCGGCCCAUUUCAAAGAGCAUCUGGGACUUCCUAUCGUGGCUCGGUGGCAAUGAACCCAACUAGGAUCCAUGAGGACACAGGUUCGAUCCCUGGCCUCCCUCAGUGGGUUAAGGAUCCAUACGCUGCCGUGUAAGCCCCAGACACAGCUGGGAUCCUGUGUGGCUGUGGCUGUGGCUGUGGCCAGCAGAUGCAUCUCCUCACCUGGGAACCUCCAUGUGCCAUGGGUACAGCCCUCAAAAGACAAAAGACAACAACAACAACAGCCAGAAAGAGCGUUCUUCGUGGAGUGGAAAGCUUCCCGGCCAGUCCCUGCCUGGUUCUCUGAGGGGUGGCAGGCUCAAGAGACAUGACCAUUUUUUUCUUUCUGGCCAAGGGAGCAUGCAAGAAGUACUCAUAGAAAAAGCUGGAAACAUCUUCAACCAAAGAUGGAUGGAGACUUGGUGGAUAAACAUCCCAGUUUUUUUUCACCUCCUGGCUGGGAGAACUCUGGGUAUUCUAUACAAGCGAUUCAAACCUUGCUGUGUAUUAGAUCAUCUGGGGGAUAUAAAAUUUUUUUUGAUGCCCAAGCCACACCCCAGACCAAUUAAAUCUGCAUUUCUGUCGAGGGAGAAGACUCAGGCGUAUGUGUUUUUUAAAGCUCCCGGGUGAUUGCAGUGUUCAGUCUCUGUGCUCUGUGCUCUGAGUUGCCGAGCAGGACUGAACUCCAGUACCUGGGGCUGUAAUUUGCUUAAUAAUGCACCCUAGUUGGGGCGCCUUCCUUUCCCCGGCUCACUUCCCCAUUUGUCCUGGAACGCCCUAACAUGGCCUCACCCAUGGCAUUCGGAAGUUCCUGGGCCAGGCAUUGAACCUGCACCACAGCAGUGACCCAAGCCCACAGCAGUGACACUGCUGGAUCCUUAACCCACUGAGCCACCAGGGAACUCUCCGAUAUACUUUGUCUUCUUCUCCUUUUAAAUACACUUUUUAUACUGCAUCCUGGUUUUAGGAUCAGCCUCCACGGGACUCAAAGGAAGCUAAGAUCUGGAAAGGUUAAAUGUCUUGCCAAAAGCCUCAUAGCCAGGACAUGGCAGAGGCAACAGUUAAAUUCCUGCUCUCCACAGACUUUGUGGUAUGAUGGAAGAGACAGGUAUUCAGAAAACUACAAUAGAAGACAAAAGGACAUGAAAGAUCAAAUAGAUCUUCAAACAAAGGCCAGAGGAGCAUUAAAGAAAAAACCCAGCCCAGCAAUUAAAUGUGAUUAGGGGUUAAGAAAUGCUACACAGAGUUGACUCAUUUUUUGCUAGGCAAAUGAGAGCGAUUUCCCUAAGUGGAAAGUGGGGCAAGGUCGCUGCCCAUGUUGGACCAAAAGGAGCAGAGGACCAGAGACAGAGCCCAGGGCAGAUCUGGAGGAUGAGUGGUCGGGGGGUGGGGGUGGGGGGAUGCGAUCUGAGCUACGGCUGGAGGAGGUGGCCAGGCCAUCCCUGAAAAUCUGGGCUCCCAGUCCUCCCACACUGGAUCUCCUUCUAAGGCACGGUUGGGCAGGAGUCUUCUCUCUGUAAUCUUUUACUAGUCUGCAAAGGCAAGGGCCACACCCAAGUCCUAUUCAGGGAUGUGCGUGGGAGGGGGAGAAAGAGGUCCAGCGAGGUCCUGUCUUAAUGGUGAUCCUUAG